rnacentral:rRNA from 1 species
CCUACGGGAGGCAGCAGUAAGGAAUAUUGGUCAAUGGACGAAAGUCUGAACCAGCCAUGCCGCGUGAAGGAUGAAGGUCCUCUGGAUUGUAAACUUCUUUUAUCUGGGACGAAAAAAGGGCUUUCUAGCUCACUUGACGGUACCAGAGGAAUAAGCACCGGCUAACUCCGUGCCAGCAGCCGCGGUAAUACGGAGGGUGCAAGCGUUAUCCGGAUUUACUGGGUUUAAAGGGAGCGUAGGUGGGCAGGUAAGUCAGUGGUGAAAUCUCUGGGCUUAACCCGGAAACUGCCAUUGAUACUAUCUGUCUUGAAUAUCCUGGAGGUAAGCGGAAUAUGUCAUGUAGCGGUGAAAUGCUUAGAUAUGACAUAGAACACCCAUUGCGAAGGCAGCUUACUACGGGAUUAUUGACACUGAGGCUCGAAAGCGUGGGGAUCAAACAGGAUUAGAUACCCUGGUAGUCCACGCCCUAAACGAUGGAUACUCGACAUCAGCGAUACACUGUUGGUGUCUGAGCGAAAGCAUUAAGUAUCCCACCUGGGAAGUACGACCGCAAGGUUGAAACUCAAAUGAAUUGACCGGNGNGAGAGNGCGACGACGACGACGAGGGAGGAGG